GCUUACGGCCAUACCACCUUAGGCACGCCCUUAUCUCGUCUGAUCUCGGAAGCUAAGCAGGGUCGGGCCUGGUUAGUACUUGGAUGGGUGACCGCCUGGGAAUACCAGGUGCUGUAAGCA
rnacentral:rRNA from 1 species